rnacentral:rRNA from 1 species
CAGCGAGUGAARAGGGAAGAGCUCAAAUUUAAAAUCUGGCGGUCUCUGGCUGUCCGAGUUGUAAAUUAGAGAAGUGUUAUCCGCUCAAGCCUGUGCAAAAGUCUCUUGGAAAAGGGCAUCAUAGAGGGUGACAAUCCCGUCUUUGGCACAGAUCACUUGCGCUUUUGUGAUGCGCUCUCGAUGAGUCGAGUUGUUUGGGAAUGCAGCUCUAAAUGGGUGGUAAAUUCCAUCUAAAGCUAAAUAUGGGCGAGAAACCGAUAGCGAACAAGUACCGUGAGGGAAAGAUGAAAAGCACUUUGAAAAGAGAGUCAAACAGUAUGUGAAAUUGUUGAAAGGGAAACGCUUGAAGUCAGUCGUAUCCUUCAGAAAUCAACCUGACCUUUGGCUGGGUGCAUUUUUUGUUGGAUGGGUCAGCAUCAAUUUUGAUCAUUGGAUAAAGGACUUGGGAAUGUGGCAUCUUUGGAUGUGUUAUAGCCUCUGUUUGUAUACAAUGAUUGGGAUUGAGGAACUCAGUGUGACUUUGGUUUGGAGGUAUUGCACCUCACACACGCACUUAGGAUGCUGGCAUAAUGGCUUUAAUCGACCCGUCUUGAAACACGGACCAAGGAGUCUAACAUGCAUGCGAGUGUUUGGGUGGAAAACUCAAGCGCGCAAUGAAAGUGAAAGUUGAGAACCCCUUUGGGGUGCAUCGACGCCCGGACUUGAUCUUUUGUGACGGACCUGCGGUAGAGCAUGUAUGUUGGGACCCGAAAGAUGGUGAACUAUGCCUGAAUAGGGUGAAGUCAGAGGAAACUCUGAUGGAAGCUCGUAGCGAUUCUGACGUGCAAUCGAUCGUCAAUUUGGGUAUAGGGGCGAAAGACUAAUCGAACCAUCUAGUAGCUGGUUCCCGCG